GUGUGGUCGGGAAGGAACCAGGAACCCAGACCCGACAGGCUUCGUUUCUCCUGGCCCCUGCCUCUGACUCCUUGUUCGGCCUGGAUUAGCCACUUCCCGCUGAGCCUGAGUGACCACGUCUGUACAAAAAGGCUUUGAGGAGGAGGUUGCCCGUUUGGCCUACUCGCAAGGAUUCGAUGCGAGGAAACUGGAGUUUUGAGUUCCAGGUCCCCUCAGGGUGUCAGGUGUUUGUCCCAGCAACAAGGAAAGUGAGUGAGUCACUAUACUGAUAGAGGAGCGCGAGGGAAGCGGCACGGUUCUCCUUUUCGCUGGGUGGCUGUGCUGAAGGACUUGGUUCUUCGAAGGUUGGAAGGAAACCUGAAGUAAAAGCUGGGAACCCUGAGAAGAGAGGGUGGAGGUCAAGGCCUUACAGGAUGCCAGGGGGGACGGGGCUGGCUCAUGGCCCAGCUGGAGAGGCAGCCACCACGGUAGGUCUCACUGGACAGGCCCCUGACUUUACCUCUGGUCAGGUACAGCUUCUGUGAGGAACUAAAACUUCUGCCAAAUACUCAAAUUUAACUAGAAGGUAGUUGUGGAGGAUGGGUGAUAGAAAAG
ensembl:lncRNA